rnacentral:rRNA from 1 species
UACGGGGGGGGCAAGCGUUGUUCGGAAUUACUGGGCGUAAAGGGCUCGUAGGCGGCCAACUAAGUCGGAUGUGAAAUCCCCAGGCUUAACCUGGGAACUGCAUCCGAUACUGGAUGGCUUGAAUCCGGGAGAGGGAUGCAGAAUUCCAGGUGUAGCGGUGAAAUGCGUAGAUAUCUGGAGGAAUACCGGUGGCGAAGGCGGUUCUCUGGGCUUUACCUGACGCUGAGGAGCGAAAGCUAGGGGAGCAAACGGG